rnacentral:rRNA from 1 species
AUUGAACGCUGGCGGCGUGCCUAAUACAUGCAAGUCGAGCGAACAGAUAAGGAGCUUGCUCCUUUGACGUUAGCGGCGGACGGGUGAGUAACACGUGGGUAACCUACCUAUAAGACUGGGAUAACUUCGGGAAACCGGAGCUAAUACCGGAUAACAUUUGGAACCGCAUGGUUCUAAAGUGAAAGAUGGUUUUGCUAUCACUUAUAGAUGGACCCGCGCCGUAUUAGCUAGUUGGUAAGGUAACGGCUUACCAAGGCGACGAUACGUAGCCGACCUGAGAGGGUGAUCGGCCACACUGGAACUGAGACACGGUCCAGACUCCUACGGGAGGCAGCAGUAGGGAAUCUUCCGCAAUGGGCGAAAGCCUGACGGAGCAACGCCGCGUGAGUGAUGAAGGGUUUCGGCUCGUAAAACUCUGUUAUUAGGGAAGAACAAACGUGUAAGUAACUGUGCACGUCUUGACGGUGCCUAAUCAGAAAGCCACGGCUAACUACGUG